CUCUAGAAGCCUUCAUAUCUCUGUUCUCUUCCACCACUUCAAACCUUUCUCUUCGUCUUCUAAAAUUGACUUUCAGUAAAAGGUAAAUAAUCUUUCUUGCAAAUAAAAUCAAUUGUAUUGGAAUAUCUCAUAUCAAGGUAAUCUCAAUUAUAAAAAGAAAAGAAAAAGAAAAAAAGAAGUGGGCCAAGUCCAUCUAUUAAUUAAAAAAAGAAAAGGAUGGGCUUAUGCCCAUCUACUAAUCCUAAACAAGAGGGGAUUGGGGGAAGUGAAUUCUGCGUACAGCAGUAGCACGAAAAAGAAAAAAAAUUAUUAUAAAGCAAGGUUGGGAAAGGUUGCUGUGUACAGCACCUCCAAACAAGGAAAACAAAACAAAAACAAAUCUUUUAGAAAAAUUGGGGAAAGAAGAAGAAGAAAAAGUUAGUUUGUUUGGAGAUUUCUAUCGGGUUUAAGGUUUGAUCCAAGAAUGUGAUACGAAUCAUUCGAGGUGACAAAAUUGGUAUUUCGACAAGAGUACGAGAACGUAGGUGAUGGCGAGGAUUACGUUAGCUAGAGAGCUUGAGGUAGCAUUUUCCUGGUAAGCCCCGCAUUUGUUCGCGUGGGCAAGAUUUUAUUUAUUUAUUUUGUUCUGUUUCUUGCAAACUCUUAGAGUUGCUCCAUAGUCAUGUCUUUAGAGUUUCGAGUAUUCUUUUAUUAUUUUGGACUUGUGGAGUAUUGAACUUCCUCUCAUGUUUUGGAGAUGGAUAUUAUGUUGUUAUUGGUGGUGUUGGUAACUUUUUGAUGGUUUGUGAUAGAUUGUGUUAGUGUGAUUGAUAUGUUAG